rnacentral:rRNA from 1 species
GGUAUUGAAAUAAGAUUUUAAAUGAGUGCUAAGAGAAUGAUUAAACAAUUAAAAGCUUUCUUUAAUUAAAUAAUUAAAUUUAAUUUUUUUAGUGCAAAAGCAAAAAUAAAAUUUAGGGACAAGAAGACCCUAUGAAUUUUUAUUGUUAAUAAUUAAAAUUUAAAUUAUUAAUAAUUUAAUUGGGGUGAUGAAAAAAGAAUAAGUAUCUUUUUAGUUAUAAAAUAAGUUCCGUUUUUAGCGAUUAAAUGAAAUAAAUACUCUAGGGAUAACAGCGUAAUAAUUUUGGAUAGUUCAUAUAGAUAAAAUAGUUUGCGACCUCGAUGUUGGAUUAGGAUUC